ACCACGGGAUCUUCGGAUCUUGAGGCUAAAGAUUGCACCGGCUUGCCGGUGCCGUCACCAGGGGAUGGGCCCGCGUCCGAUUAGCUAGUUGGUGAGGUAAUGGCUCACCAAGGCUACGAUCGGUAGCUGGUCUGAGAGGAUGAUCAGCCACACUGGAACUGAAACACGGUCCAGACUCCUACGGGAGGCAGCAGUGAGGAAUAUUGCGCAAUGGGGGAAACCCUGACGCAGCAACGCCGCGUGGGUGAAGAAGGCCUUCGGGUCGUAAAGCCCUUUCGGACGGGACGAACGCUUUGCGGUGAAAGCCGCGAAGUCUGACGGUACCGUAGGAAGAAGCACCGGCUAACUCCGUGCCAGCAGCCCGCGGUAAUACGGAGGGUGCGAGCGUUGUUCGGAAUUACUGGGCGUAAAGCGCGUGUAGGCGGCCUUGCAAGUCANGCGUGAAAGCCCUCGGCUUAACCGGGGAAGUGCGUCUGAAACUGCUUGGCUUGAGUACGGGA
rnacentral:rRNA from 1 species